AAUUUAAAGUGCCAUUUUAGUCUAAUUCUAUUUGGCUUUAAGAAACAACUGUUGUAUUUUGUCCCCUUUAAAUAAUAGCAGGUGUACUGUGUAACAGGUUUAGAGUAGAAGAACUUGCCCUGAGUAGGUAGUCAGAACAUAGGAGUAGUUUGAAGAAGGCUUUUUUAUUAUUCAAUACUUCAGUAAUGCAUAAGUAACUAGAAUCACAGAAUCAGACAAAAAUUAGUUAUAGUGUUUUACCAUUCCUACGACAAAAAAUAUUUUUCUUUAUUGGUACUAAAAAUUUCCCCACUUGUUUCUUCCUUUCCUUUCACCAAGCAACUCUGAGCUGUCCAUAAACCCCACUUAAAUAACUGAAGAGGGAAAAUAAAUACCCCUCAGUCUGCUUUUCAGGUUAAACAAGCCCAGUAGCCUCCCCUCAUAUGUCAUAUGUCUUUCCCGCAAACCCAGGAAUGCUCACAACCAUCCUGAUCAUCCUCCAUUUGGUUUCUUCUGUUUUCUUGACAACUCUUUUCUACUGGGAGGGCUCAAAAAUUGAAACUAGAUGCAGGCUCACUAGUGCCCAGCAGAGGCGAAUAAUAACUUUCCUCGACCUGCUGGCUACGCUCUAAUUAAUGCAAGUGUAUAGGAGGUUAUCUUUCAUCACAACAAGGGUGGACUGACUCAUGUUCAGUUUGGUGUCAAUCAGACCUUAGGUUCUUCUCUGCAGAGCUGCUACCCAGUCAUUCAGUCACUGACCUGUGGUGUUGCAGUGCUGUUGACGUUCUCCACCCACCUUGUUCUCCGCCAGUUGCGUGUUUGCCUUUGUUCACAGAGCUCUUGCUAUCCCAUUCUUUCCAUCUGGCAAAGUCCUCCAGAACGGGACCCAUGCCCUCAGUGUAUCAUUCUCUCCCUCCCCUCCAAGUUAAUAACAACCACAGACUUCCUGGACAUGUCGGCUCUCUUAUCACCCAGGUCCCUGGUGGAGAUGUCACCCUAGCAUCCUCUGAAAUGCAACCUGGAACAGAGACUUUGAACUGUCGACUACUAUCUUUUUAGACCAGUAGUCCAGCCAGUUAUUCACCCACUCUGUAGUCUACCCUGCUCCUCUGUUAGGGCAUGAGACUGUGUCAAAAGCCUUACUAAGGUGGAGGAAAAUAGCAUCCAUGCCAUGUUGCCCAGAGAAAUUGUAGAUGUCCCAUCCCUUGAAGUGUUGAAGGCCAGGCUGGAUGGGGCUUUGAGCAACCUGGUCUGGUGGGAGGUGUCCCUGCCCAGGGCAGGGGGGUUGGAACCAGAUGAUCUUCAAGCUCCCUUCCAACUCUAACCAUGCUAUGAUUCCAUGAUUCUGCGUUUCUACAAGGCUGGCCACAUGCUCUGUCCUCUCAGGAUGUGGACCAAAAAAGAAGUGGAAACCCAACCCGAGUCUGAAAUGUUCUCUAACAUGCAUUUAGCCAUGCUUAUCUGUUGAAAUUUACUAUGUGUAGUAUACUUCCUCAGACAUACCAAUGCAUGAAAAAUCAUCCCCAGUUCAGUAAGCAGUUAUAAAUUAACAGUACAGGAAACCAAUGUUUUUAAAAGAUGAGGUGCUGUAUGAAGUUGUCCACCAGUUUACAGAUCUGUCCCUGCUUAGCAUGCUGCAGUUUUUAUUCUCCUCUCCAUUUUGUUUUCACCUUUUAUUUCCCCUUUUUUCUACAGGUUGCCAAUGAAAGAGGUUCUGUUUAGCUGUGAUGCCCCGAAUUAGAAUCAAGAGCUAAAACCGUAGAGUAUUUUGAGGCCUGUUUCUACAUUGAGAAGAAAUCCCCAGCGCAAAUGUUAUUUAAGGCCCCUUUUAAAGGAAAAAAAAAAAAAAAGUUGCUUCCAGUAUGCUAAUUGCAAAGCAGUAAUAACAAUCAAAUAUUCUUUCAAGGAAUAAUCUUAUGUACUAGUGUAGUUAACCCCAGAGAUACACACAUGAACGUGCCCUAUUGAAAUAUCAUUUCUUGAAGUGCUUGCUGGUCUAAGAGAUGCCCCAUAUAACACAGCAUAUUUUCUUUAGAAAUAAUAUAAAAUGUUGACAUUAAAUAAAGCUGUAUUUUUGUUGCAAA